rnacentral:rRNA from 1 species
AAUAUUGGACAAUGGGUGGAAGCCUGAUCCAGCCAUGCCGCGUGCAGGAAGAAGGCCUUCUGGGUUGUAAACUGCUUUUGCCAGGGGAUAAAAAAUCUGUGCGCAGAUAAUUGAAGGUACCUGGUGAAUAAGUCUCGGCUAACUACGUGCCAGCAGCCGCGGUAAAACGUAGGAGGCAAGCGUUAUCCGGAGUUACUGGGCGUAAAGCGUAUGUAGGCGGUUGGGCAAGUGGCGUGUGAAAGCUCCCGGCUAAACUGGGAGACGACAGGUCAGACUGCUCGGCUCGAGUCCGAUAGAGGAGCGUAGAAUUCCGGGUGUAGCGGUGAAAUGUGUAGAGAUCCGGAGGAAUACCAGUGGCGCAAGCGGCGCUCUGGGUCGGGACUGACGCUGAGAUACGAAACCGUGGGGAGCGAAC